rnacentral:rRNA from 1 species
UACGUAGGGUGCGAGCGUUAAUCGGAAUUACUGGGCGUAAAGCGUGCGCAGGCGGUUGUAUAAGUCAGAUGUGAAAUCCCCGGGCUCAACCUGGGAACUGCAUUUGAGACUGUACGGCUAGAGUUUGGCAGAGGGGGGUGGAAUUCCACGUGUAGCAGUGAAAUGCGUAGAGAUGUGGAGGAACACCGAUGGCGAAGGCAGCCCCCUGGGCCAAUACUGACGCUCAUGCACGAAAGCGUGGGGAGCAAACAGG